AGACCCGAAACCCGGUGAUCUAGCCAUGGGCAGGUUGAAGGUUGGGUAACACUAACUGGAGGACCGAACCGACUAAUGUUGAAAAAUUAGCGGAUGACCUGUGGCUGGGGGUGAAAGGCCAAUCAAACCGGGAGAUAGCUGGUUCUCCCCGAAAGCUAUUUAGGUAGCGCCUCGUGAAUUCAUCUCCGGGGGUAGAGCACUGUUUCGGCUAGGGGGCCAUCCCGGCUUACCAACCCGAUGCAAACUGCGAAUACCGGAGAAUGUUAUCACGGGAGACACACGGCGGGUGCUAACGUCCGUCGUGAAGAGGGAAACAACCCAGACCGCCAGCUAAGGUCCCAAAGUCAUGGUUAAGUGGGAAACGAUGUGGGAAGGCCCAGACAGCCAGGAUGUUGGCUUAGAAGCAGCCAUCAUUUAAAGAAAGCGUAAUAGCUCACUGGUCGAGUCGGCCUGCGCGGAAGAUGUAACGGGGCUAAACCAUGCACCGAAGCUGCGGCAGCGAACGUAUCACCCAAGACAACUUUACGGAGUUGACGAUUGACGGAGCGAAGCGACGUCAAAGCGUUCAUUAAAGUCGAGUUGGCUUAGGGAUACGUUCGUUGGGUAGGGGAGCGUUCUGUAAGCCUGUGAAGGUGUGUCGUGAGGCAUGCUGGAGGUAUCAGAAGUGCGAAUGCUGACAUAAGUAACGAUAAAGCGGGUGAAAAGCCCGCUCGCCGGAAGACCAAGGGUUCCUGUCCAACGUUAAUCGGGGCAGGGUGAGUCGACCCCUAAGGCGAGGCCGAAAGGCGUAGUCGAUGGGAAACGGGUUAAUAUUCCCGUACUUGGUGUUACUGCGAAGGGGGGACGGAGAAGGCUAUGUUGGCCGGGCGACGGUUGUCCCGGUUUAAGCGUGUAGGUGUGUGUUCCAGGUAAAUCCGGUUCACUUUAACACUGAGGCGUGACGACGAGGCACUACGGUGCUGAAGCAACAAAUGCCCUGCUUCCAGGAAAAGCCUCUAAGCAUCAGGUAACACGAAAUCGUACCCCAAACCGACACAGGUGGUCAGGUAGAGAA
rnacentral:rRNA from 1 species